UUCUUAAACAUGCCAGUAAGUAUUGACACUGUCAGUUCCAGGCCUGAUAAAUUGUGAGAGAAAA
rnacentral:ribozyme from 2 species